rnacentral:rRNA from 1 species
GAGGGCGUGGCUUCCGGAGCUAACGCGUUAAAUCGACCGCCUGGGGAGUACGGCCGCAAGGUUAAAACUCAAAUGAAUUGACGGGGGCCCGCACAAGCGGUGGAGCAUGUGGUUUAAUUCGAUGCAACGCGAAGAACCUUACCUACUCUUGACAUCCAGAGAACUUUCCAGAGAUGGAUUGGUGCCUUCGGGAACUCUGAGACAGGUGCUGCAUGGCUGUCGUCAGCUCGUGUUGUGAAAUGUUGGGUUAAGUCCCGCAACGAGCGCAACCCUUAUCCUUUGUUGCCAGCGGUUCGGCCGGGAACUCAAAGGAGACUGCCAGUGAUAAACUGGAGGAAGGUGGGGAUGACGUCAAGUCAUCAUGGCCCUUACGAGUAGGGCUACACACGUGCUACAAUGGCGUAUACAAAGAGAAGCGACCUCGCGAGAGCAAGCGGACCUCAUAAAGUACGUCGUAGUCCGGAUUGGAGUCUGCGACUCGACUCCAUGAAGUCGGAAUCGCUAGUAAUCGUAGAUCAGAAUGCUACCGCGAAUACAUUCCCGGGCCUUGUACACACCGCCCGUCACACCAUGGGAGUGGGUUGCAA